UACGAAGGGGGGCUAGCGUUGCUCGGAAUCACUGGGCGUAAAGCGCACGUAGGCGGAUCUUUAAGUCAGGGGUGAAAUCCUGGAGCUCAACUCCAGAACUGCCUUCGAUACUGGCGAUCUAGAGUCCGGAAGAGGUGAGUGGAACUCCUAGUGUAGAGGUGGAAUUCGUAGAUAUUAGGAAGAACACCAGUGGCGAAGGCGGCUCACUGGUCCGGUACUGACGCUGAGGUGCGAAAGCGUGGGGAGCAAACAGG
rnacentral:rRNA from 1 species